CUCCGGAAUGUAUUGAAACAGUGUCCACACGCCGUUUUCCAGAUAGCACUGAAAGAUGAAUCCCUGUCGCAAUAUGAUGCGACCUUAUUCUAGCCAUCAAGGUGAUAGUACUCCUCCUAUAAUUGC